UAAAUCAACAAAUUAUUUCAAGUUCUAUACUUCAAAUGAUUCAUUCCGGAGAAAGUCGUUAUAUUUUUCACUGGAUACUUUUAGACACCUUUAUAAGUGAUUUUAUGAAUUCUUGCAUACCUAAUAUAUAUUUUGCGCACUCAAUUAGAGGGAGACAUUGGUUAAGGGCGAAUGUGGUGCCCUACAACGGCACGUUCCACCUCCGUGCAUCACUGGGAAACCACCUACGAAGCGUCACAUCCUCGGGUUAAGGAUGCCACCUCGACGGCCGUUAAACGCGGCACUUGACAGUCGACCGUCUGUGUGAAAGUAUCUCGUAUCCUGGCAUCCUUUGUUUUUUAUGCUCGCCGCUCGAAAGACAAAGCGUGUAUGAAAUGUGCACCACAGGGAGAAAUGGAGAAAGGGAAAGGCGGGACAUCAUAAAAAGAAUAUCCUGCAUACGCAGUCGGUAGUGGAAUGAAUUUUUCCUGCCAUUUACGAGCUCAACUCAAAUGGCCUGCAGUGAUUCCUGCCCUUGCCUGCCGCACAUACUCCGUGUUAUCUGUCAGAAAGCGCUGGCGAGACUGUCACUUGCAGUGCCGACAUUUUGCCAGCGAAAUUGAGUACCCGAGGGCAAUUUGAUUUAUCUCAGGUUAAGGCGUAGAAUUUCGGCUGGAGGUGUAUUUUUUGCAAGUCAUGUUAAAGUUCAGCUCAGCUGGAGUUAUAUCCCUCGAUUGU